GGGCAGGGGUCCAAUGGGGUGGAUCCACCCCUCUUAGUCUUGUCCUGUGGUGGUGCUGAGCCAUGUCUCCCCCAUCUUGUUUGGGCAUCAGGGCAGUCUAUGGACUUGUCAAGGACUCAGGAGCAAAGAGAACUCUGCCCAAGGCGAUGGUCAUGCCCUUGCUCCAACACUUUGCUGAGGGCCUGGUCUGUUACCACAGCCUGGCAUCCUGCUCAAUAUGCUUGGGCCAGUUUGUGAUUUUUCAGGAGGACUGGAAAAGUGCUAACGCUUUAGGAGGUGGCAGUGACAGAAAGCUGGAAGACUUCUCUGAAGAACAGAUGAGAGGGGAAUGUGGGGGCUGUGUGCCAGGUGUCUGCCGUCACUGCCAGCCCCUUGGUCUGGAGACACAGGACCAAUACUUGGAGAUGAACAUCAAAGGAUCAUCUGAGUCCUAAUCCAGCCUGCAACCUGACUUCAACUUCCUCAGGUAACUGUGGCAAGCACAAAUAAGAUCAAGAUGUCCAGUAAAAGGCAUUCCUUUCGAAGAAGCCACAAAGUUGUCAUAGUGAACAAUUGCUGUUUUCAUCUGCAGCCUCCAUCUUCCCCCUUCAAUGGACAGGAGCAAAAGAGAGAGACGCCCAGGACUUGUAGGAGCUGCAGGAGGACCCUCUCCCUUCUGCAUGAGGAGAGGCAUGAGGGUGUGAAAUCUGACCAGCUAGAGUGAUUUUGUAACCACCAGAUAAGAAACUGCAGCUGCUGAGGGGCCACUCUGAGCAGUCCAGGAAUGAAGUCAACACCACAAAAGGCAGACGAGCGAGAUGGUGAGAAACCAGGUCCUGGGGUAUCCUUUGAGGCACUGGACCAAGUCUGACCUGAGGUCUGUC
rnacentral:lncRNA from 1 species